AGUUUUCUCAAGGAGCCGUGCGAUACAUGGAGGGUGUCAAAUCUCACGAGUGCCGUCCAAAUCUUGCGCUGGUUUUCUGAUCCCACGAAGAGCAGUGCGAUACGUUGGGGAGUGUCAACCUCAUAAAUAUCCUCCAAAUCUUGCACUAGGAUUCUGAUUUAUAUUAACCACGGUGCAAUGUAUAGGGUGUGCCCAUCUCAUAAGCAUGCUCCAAAACUUGCACUGGUUGUCUCCUGCACGCUAGGAAAAUUACAAUACAUAGGGCGUAUCGAUGUUAUAAGUGUCCUCCAAAUCUUGCGCUAGUAUUCUGAUUCAGACUAGGAACCUUUUACAUACAUGGAAUCUUGCACUAAUUUUCUGAUUCACACGAGAAACAGGACAAUACAUACGGGUGUUCGGUUUUAUAAACAGCUCCCAAUGUUCUUUUAAUUUUUGAGCUGCAAUGUUCCUUUCUAAGAAUGGUUACUUUUUGUUAACUUUCUUUUUUUUUCUUUUUUAAAUAAAUAUCUGAAAACUUGAAGUUGAAAUCAUAUCAAUAAUAGAUACAAUGGAAGUCAAGAACGUACAAAGAAGAAGAAAAAUCAACAUUCAUCAUUAUAUCAGAUGACUGAUGUCUGAUUAGUAUUAUCUAUCUAAUCGUAAUAGUAUCCACAUAUAUCUUUUCACAUUAGACAACAUGUUAUGCUUACAUAUUAUGCUGUUAAUGAUAUUUUAAUUAUAUUUUUAAAAUAAAAUCAGUUUGUAUCACAUAAAUUUACAACAUCAUCACUACUAUAUUUUAAAAAGUUAGGGAAAAAAAAGGGUCAUGCUCAAUGGAAUCACAUGCAUCCCUCAUAUACUCCUUAUAUACUCUUGAUCAAACCGACAGCCACUAAACCGUGCCAAAUUGACGUUUGAUAUAACACUCUUAUGUGUCUGCAUGCCAUUACUUUUGCAUGUGGGUGAUAUUUUCUCAGGAACCUUAGGAUCCACAUAAUAUAAUAUCAUAUAAUAUGUAAUAUAAUAUAUAUAUAAGAAAAUUAAAGUACCAUCAUGUGACAUCGUGACAUGAUGUAUGAAGAGGAAUACUGACAUGGGCCGGUCCACUUGAAGCUAGGUAGGAUCGGGCCCUAAUUGUAGACAAUGUCUAUGCCAUCUGAUCCACACGAAUUUAUAAAUAGAUUGUUGACCAAUUCUACGUCGACCUUUAUUGAAGCUCUGACAACAUUCCAACCAUGUAGUCAUACAACCCGAAAUAAUUUCAGUUUCGAUAAAUCCAAUUCAAGUAUCAAGAGCACCAAGCUAGAGGAAUAGUGGAAUUGGCUGGAAAGUUGAAUUAGACAAGAGAGAUGGGUGGAAAAAUACGAUCCAGUAUAAGAAGAGUGUAUAAAAGAAAUACUAACUUCCGAAUUAAAUGAUGGUAGAACUUGGGAAAGGGGAAAGAAAAAAAAGCAAAGAUCAAAACAAAGAGAUACAAGAUACCAGAGAAGAGGGAUUGUGAGGCUCGUUCUUGCCGAUGCCUUCGUCACUUCCAUCCGUCCGAUGGAGAUCGGAGCGAUUGUGAGGCACCUCGGUGCACCCGGAGAGGGACGAGGAGAGAAGGCUUAUGAAUGGAUCGAUAGCGCGGCGGCGUUCGCCG
rnacentral:lncRNA from 1 species